rnacentral:lncRNA from 1 species
UUUUUUUUUUUUUUUUUUUGAGACACAGCCUCCCUCUGUUGCCCAGGCUGGAGUAGAGUGGUGUGAUCUCAGCUCACUGCAACCUCCACCUCCCAGGUUCAAGCAAUUCUCAUGCCUCAGCCUCCUGAGAAGCUGGGAUUACAGGCACCACCAUGCCCAGCCUGGACUCACUUCUCUAUGUUAAAAAGGAGGUUUACAAAUUCCUGAGAGUUUAGUUGCUGAAUUCUGACCUGGCAUAUAAUAAUUCAAGUGUUUAAUAAAUCAGUAGCAAUUUUCCCAAAUCCAGAGUUUGAUAUGGAGCUAAACCAUGUCAUGAGCUCACCUAUCAUUCGAGUUACUUUGCCCCUUAGGAAUGAAGUCACUGGAGUAGAAGCAACCUGGUUUGAGAGGGUUAUGUGGUACAUCGUUUUCACAAAUUUCAGAAAUAAUUUAUACUACUUUACUUUCUAAGGAAGGUGGAAACCUAAAGUGGGUGAAUAACUGAAAACUUGGGAUUUUAUUUUCCUAGAGGUGGGGGUCUUGCUAUGUUACCCAGGCUGAUCUUGAUCUCUUGGCCUCAAGUGGUGAUCCUCCCACCUAAGCCUCCUGAGUAACUGGGACUACAGGUGUGUGCCAGACACCUGGUUAAUUUUUUUUAAAAAUUAUUUUUAGAGACGGGGGUUUCAUCAUGUUGCCCAGCCUAGUCUCUAGCUCCUGGCCUCAAGCAAUCCUCCUGCCUCGGCCUCCUAAAACUGGGCGUGGUGGUGCGCACCUGUAGUUCCAGCUACUCAGGGUCUGAGGCAGGAGAAUGGCUUGAACCCAGGAGCUAGAGGCUGCAGUGAGCCAAGAUUGCACCACUGCACUCCAGCCUGGGCGGCAAAGCAAGACUCUGUCUCAAAAACAAAAAAACAAAAACAAAACUCAGCUAAGUUUAAACUGGUAGAAUAGAGUCUGGAAGAAAAUAAAUUAGUAAGUAAACAUUUCCUUGCUAAACAACUGCAAGGGAAAAACCAGGAUAUAGUUUUACAUUUGGGACAAAUAUUAAUCAAUAUACUUUGAGAGGGGCACUUAAAAAUACUCUUUUCAGGAUAAGAAAUAUUAAGGCGAUAUAUUCUCUAAGAGUAAGUUUCUAUAUAAUCUAACUUAGUUUAGGCUUAAGUUGUACGAAAUACCAUUUGUAUUAGGUUGAUAACCAAUUUAGUUUAUUAGGAAUGGUACUAUAUAAAAGAUAUAUGCUGAUGGAAAGCACAUUUGAUACCUCAAAAGACAAUGCUGACAACGCCACUUUUGCAGUGUGCUUACAAAGGAACAAAAAACAAAACAAACCCCAAAGGCCAUUUCUUUCUCAAAUAAGAAAUACAAAUGCAUGAUAAACUUCAGUGCUUGCAGCAAAAGUAGGCAUUAAAGAAAAAUGCUAUAAAAUAUAUUUCUUAAAAAUAUGCAGCGCAGUUUUUUUUUUCUUCCCACCUUUUUGGGGCAGAACUAUCUCUGGGCCAUCAGCAGUCUUCUCUCUUGCCUGGAGCCUCCCUAACCUUCCAUAUCUUAUCCAAAUUGUUGAUCAAAAGAGCUCUUUAAAAAGAGUUUAAAAGCCAGUAUUUACAGUUUAUAGACUCUACAGUUAAUCUUAUCAAUCUCUAAAAAACCUUGUACACAUGAAUGCCUAUCAAGUGUCAAGCACUAGGCUGGGUUAUCAACGUAAAGAAUGACACAUUUACUUGGGAGUAGGGAUUCUGUCGAGUUUAAAGAGGCAAAGAAAAGGCUCCAAUUGUGUUAUCCAGAAGUGAGAAAGAUGCACUCCAGGUAGUAGGACAAAAGCACAAAGGUAUGAGAUGGCAAAGUACUUUUGAGAUGGCGUGCAUUUUAAUUGUAGCACAUCAGAAGAUAUGCUAUGUGAACCUAGUAAGCUUAUUGCAAUUGCAAUGUUCCAAAGUUAAGAGACAAUGAUUUCAACAAAAAUAAGGAAAAGAAGGUUGGGGUGUAAUUUACUCAAAUAAUCUUUGUGAGGGGAUAGGGGAAGAAAUUUCUGAGGAAACAAGUACCAAGCUUAGUAUUUUCAUUUAGCUCAGAAAGCCUGCAGUCCCCAGUAAACUUUUACAUUGCCUACCUAUAGCUCUGAAGCUGGCAGAGCUAAGAUGGAGGUGAAAAUUGGAGAGGUAUUGGAACAUAAUAGGCCCAAAUGAAAUUGCCCAGGCAUAAUACACGAACGUAUGAAGGCAGUCAAAGAAAAGUAAUUCCAAGUAUGAACAGUAUUUAAAAUGCCAUGGGAAAGUCAAGAAAAAUUGAGAGCUCAAGAAGUUCGUGGAUUU